UGGGGAAUUUUGGACAAUGGGGGAAACCCUUAUCCAGCCAUCCCGCGUGUGCGAUGAAGGCCUUCGGGUUGUAAAGCACUUUUGGCAGGAAAGAAACGUCAUGGGUUAAUACCCCGUGAAACUGACGGUACCUGCAGAAUAAGCACCGGCUAACUACGUGCCAGCAGCCGCGGUAAUACGUAGGGUGCAAGCGUUAAUCGGAAUUACUGGGCGUAAAGCGUGCGCAGGCGGUUCGGAAAGAAAGAUGUGAAAUCCCAGAGCUCAACUUUGGAACUGCAUUUUUAACUACCGGGCUAGAGUGUGUCAGAGGGAGGUGGAAUUCCGCGUGUAGCAGUGAAAUGCGUAGAUAUGCGGAGGAACACCGAUGGCGAAGGCAGCCUCCUGGGAUAACACUGACGCUCAUGCACGAAAGCGUGGGGAGCAAACAGG
rnacentral:rRNA from 1 species